AGUGAGAGGAGUAACAGGUCUGGACUCUUUCUCUGGGUUUCUCUGUAGCUUUGGAGGCUGUCCUGGAACUAGCUCCUGUAGACCAGGCUGGUCUCUAACUCACAGAGAUCCACCUGUCUCUGCCUCCUGAGUGCUGGGACUAAAGAUGUGAGCCACCAACGCCCGGCCUCAGUCCUGAAUUCUUAAUGUGCUGUGAAAACCUCAACUGAGCAUUUUCUUCAUCAAAGCGCCCUUCGCCUGGUUCGAUGUCAUCACAAGCCCGUGCCCAUGCCCUGCAUGCUCGAGUGAGCCCUCAUCCCAUGCCUGACCUUUGGAAUCAACUUCUUCGUGGGAAAGCAACCUGUGCCUCCACUGAGCACAAGUGCACAGGGCUAUUUUGAGCCACCACUCUCUGGAAUCAUGACAGCCUGACUUGUGGAAUUGGAAGUAGGUCACCAACUAAUCUCUUCCAAGUGACAAAAAAAAAAAAUGCAUCUGCAGAACCCAUGAAGACAAGAGGGCAGCCCGUCUUUACCUUUUGCUAACCCACCCACACUCCCCUGGAAACUGGAGACACAGCAGAGUUACCCAGAAUGUAAUAAUUCACCAAGAACUGGUUUUAGCCAGGUGUGGUAGUGACAUGCUUACAAUUGGGAGACAGAAGCAGGAAGAUCAUAAAUUCAAGGCCUACCUUGCCUACGGAGGGAGUUUGAAAAUGGUCUGGAUUAUCAUGCCACUCAUCUAAAAUAAAAAUAAAAAAGAAAAACCAAUUGGUUCUAGUGGCAUCCAUUAAAUGGCACAUUAGGUCCCUUCAGUUGCUACAGGCAAAAGCCUAAAUCAGUCUGAGUUAGAGAUGGACUCACUGGCUUCUCUGGGGAAAAAGGACUGACACUGACCAGAAAUCCUUAGGGGGUUUCUAUAGUGUGGAUCUCG
rnacentral:lncRNA from 1 species